rnacentral:rRNA from 1 species
CCUACGGGAGGCUGCAGUGGGGAAUAUUGGACAAUGGGGGGAACCCUGAUCCAGCCAUGCCGCGUGUGUGAAGAAGGCCCUCGGGUUGUAAAGCACUUUCAGUGAGGAAGAACGCCUGGUGGUUAAUACCCAUCAGGAAAGACAUCACUCACAGAAGAAGCACCGGCUAACUCCGUGCCAGCAGCCGCGGUAAUACGGAGGGUGCGAGCGUUAAUCGGAAUUACUGGGCGUAAAGCGCGCGUAGGUGGCUUGAUAAGCCGGUUGUGAAAGCCCCGGGCUCAACCUGGGAACGGCAUCCGGAACUGGCAAGCUAGAGUGCAGGAGAGGAAGGUAGAAUUCCCGGUGUAGCGGUGAAAUGCGUAGAGAUCGGGAGGAAUACCAGUGGCGAAGGCGGCCUUCUGGACUGACACUGACGCUGAGGUGCGAAAGCGUGGGUAGCAAACAGGAUUAGAUACCCCAGUAGUC